UUUGAAGUUUGACAUACUUGUCAAAAGAUCAAAACAAUGUGCGGAAAUUAAAAGCCAACCCAGCCAAUCAUUGUCCACUGCUGAACAUAGGCCUCUCCCAAGGUGCGCCAAAGCUCCCUGUCCUCCGCCUUCCGCAUCCAGUUGGUGCCCGCCACCUUCUUAAGGUCAUCGGUUCACCUGGCUGAUUUAUUUAAAUCAUAUUGAACCUUAAGUCAUACAGGUACAAUAGAAAAUCCUUUAGGAACAUAUAUGUUCUUUGAAGAUGAUCCAUCGCCUCAUUGUGCAGAUCCUUUAUUUGACAAGUUACCUGAA